GACGGAGGAUGCAAGCGUUAUCCGGAAUGAUUGGGCGUAAAGCGUCUGUAGGUGGUUUUUAAAGUCGAAUGUCAAAGAUCAGGGCUUAACCCUGAUUCGGCAUUCGAAACUCAAAAGCUUGAGUUCGGUAGAGGCAGAGGGAAUUCCCGGUGUAGCGGUGAAAUGCGUAGAUAUCGGGAAGAACACCAACGGCGAAAGCACUCUGCUGGGCCGAAACUGACACUCAGAGACGAAAGCUAGGGGAGUGAAUAGG
rnacentral:rRNA from 1 species